rnacentral:rRNA from 1 species
AGUGAACGCUGGCGGUAGGCCUAACACAUGCAAGUCGAACGGCAGCACAGUAAGAGCUUGCUCUUACGGGUGGCGAGUGGCGGACGGGCGAGGAAUACAUCGGAAUCUACUUUUUCGUGGGGGAUAACGUAGGGAAACUUACGCUAAUACCGCAUACGACCUACGGGUGAAAGCAGGGGAUCUUCGGACCUUGCGCGAUUGAAUGAGCCGAUGUCGGAUUAGCUAGUUGGCGGGGUAAAGGCCCACCAAGGCGACGAUCCGUAGCUGGUCUGAGAGGAUGAUCAGCCACACUGGAACUGAGACACGGUCAGACUCCUACGGGAGGCAGCAGUGGGGAAUAUUGGACAAUGGGCGCAAGCCUGAUCCAGCCAUACCGCGUGGGUGAAGAAGGCCUUCGGGUUGUAAAGCCCUUUUGUUGGGAAAGAAAAGCAGCAGGUUAAUACCCCGCUGUUCUGACGGUACCCAAAGAAUAAGCACCGGCUAACUUCGUG